ensembl:lncRNA
GGCAGCCAACUUCUACCCACUCACUUGUCACUUGUCUCUUUCUUCCCCUCCUAGUCUAGACUAUCUUCACUGUGGGAUGCUGCUGUAGUCUCUCCACCCAAUCUACUUGUAGAAACCCUCUGCCUACACGUACCCACCCCAACCACACUGCCAUACACUUAUUCUACCCCAUAAUCUGUGCUAAUAUUUCCCUGCAUAAUAAAUAAUUGUCACCAUUGGCAUAGUUUUUCUGUUCCAUUGCUCUACUUACCCUGGUAAUAGUACACUGUAUACCCACUAAGCUGUUCUACACACACACACACACACACACUGUAUACCCACUAAGCUGUUCUUCAAUACUUGAAUGCUCUCUCCCGACCUUAUCCACUAUACAUUUUUUAUGUAUCAUGUACGUAUAUACCAUAUCAUGUGUGUAUGUAUUGUUUACAUUUACCAAUUGUACUUGUGUAUGAUUUAAUCUGCCAUGUCUCCUCUCCCCUUUGGCCACAAACUAAUCACUUCAAUGACAGGGCGGUUUAGUUUAGUGCAACAUUUAAUGGACUUUCCAGUGUCACGUUGCCAUUUCACACUUCCCAUGAUUAAAUGGGCCAUUAUCUCCUCUUCUGCAAUCUCAAUGAACAGCUGUUUCUCACUCAUGCAUGAGUUCCCUCUCAAGGUGUUCUCUAGGACAGAGCAGACAUUACACUUUUUAGUGUACAUCAUUGUACAGUAUCAAAUACUUCUCUCUAACUGAAUAUAAAAAACGAUCAUUGCACAGUACUACGUACACAGAUACAUUGAGGAUUAUAUUAAAUAGAGAUGAGAAGUUAAUAUCUUUUUAUUAACUCAUAUUCCUCAGUCACUCACUAAACUGAGUCAGGUUUAUGAGUGACUUCAGUCUGUAUCACCAAGAGUGUAUAAAUCCUGUUGAUAAAUGAAAAGCCAACUGUGUCCAACCACAUAUUAAUAACUUCAAAGUUCACAUGCUACAGCAAGGGGGCUAUCUACUGUGUUUGUGUGUGUGUGUGCAGCGAGGGGGCUAUCUACUGUGUUUGUGUGUGUGUGUGUGUGCAGCAAGGGGGCUAUCUACUGUGUUUGUGUGUGUGUGUGUGUGCAGCAAGGGGGCUA